UGGGGAAUAUUGGACAAUGGGGGAAACCCUGAUCCAGCAAUGCCGCGUGAGUGAAGAAGGCCCUAGGGUUGUAAAACUCUUUCGCCCGCGAAGAUGAUGACGGUAGCGGGAGAAGAAGCCCCGGCUAACUCCGUGCCAGCAGCCGCGGUAAUACGGAGGGGGCUAGCGUUGUUCGGAUUUACUGGGCGUAAAGCGCACGCAGGCGGUUCUUCUAGUUAGGCGUGAAAGGCCUGGGCUCAACCCGGGAACUGCGCUUAAUACUGUUGAGCUAGAGUCCGGGAGAGGAUGGCGGAAUUCCCAGUGUAGAGGUGAAAUUCGUAGAUAUUGGGAAGAACACCAGUGGCGAAGGCGGCCAUCUGGUCCGGUACUGACGCUGAGGUGCGAAAGCGUGGGGAGCAAACAGG
rnacentral:rRNA from 1 species